CCUACGGGCGGCAGCAGUGAGGAAUAUUGGUCAAUGGCCGAGAGGCUGAACCAGCCACGUCGCGUGAGGGAAGAAUGUCCUAUGGAUUGUAAACCUCUUUUGUCAGGGAGCAAAGUCACCCACGUGUGGGUGUUGGAGAGUACCUGAAGAAAAAGCAUCGGCUAACUCCGUGCCAGCAGCCGCGGGAAUACGGAGGAUGCGGGCGUUAUCCGGAUUUAUUGGGGUUAAAGGUGGCGCAGGGGGGUUAUCAAGUCAGCGGUAAAAUCGUGGAGCUAAACUCCAUCCAGCAGUUGAAACUGAUGAUCGUGAGUGGGCGAGAAGUAUGCGGAAUGCGUGGUGUAGCGGUGAAAUGCAUAGAUAUCACGCAGAA
rnacentral:rRNA from 1 species